UACGUAGGGUCCGAGCGUUGUCCGGAAUUACUGGGCGUAAAGAGCUCGUAGGUGGUUUGUCGCGUUGUUCGUGAAAACUCACAGCUUAACUGUGGGCGUGCGGGCGAUACGGGCAGACUUGAGUACUGCAGGGGAGACUGGAAUUCCUGGUGUAGCGGUGGAAUGCGCAGAUAUCAGGAGGAACACCGGUGGCAAAGGCGGGGUCUCUGGGCAGUAACUGACGCUGAGGAGCGAAAAGCAUGGGGGAGCGAACAGG
rnacentral:rRNA from 1 species